GAUGAACGCUGGCGGCGUGCCUAAUACAUGCAAGUCGAGCGAACAGACGAGGAGCUUGCUCCCCUGACGUUAGCGGCGGACGGGUGAGUAACACGUGGAUAACCUACCUAUAAGACUGGGAUAACUUCGGGAAACCGGAGCUAAUACCGGAUAAUAUAUUGAACCGCAUGGUUCAAUAGUUAAAGACGGUUUUGCUGUCACUUAUAGAUGGAUCCGCGCCGCAUUAGCUAGUUGGUAAGGUAACGGCUUACCAAGGCAACGAUGCGUAGCCGACCUGAGAGGGUGAUCGGCCACACUGGAACUGAGACACGGUCCAGACUCCUACGGGAGGCAGCAGUAGGGAAUCUUCCGCAAUGGGCGAAAGCCUGACGGAGCAACGCCGCGUGAAUGAUGAAGGUCUUCAGAUCGUAAAACUCUGUUAUUAGGGAAGAACAAAUGUGUAAGUAACUAUGCACGUCUUGACGGUACCUAAUCAGAAAGCCACGGCUAACUACGUG
rnacentral:rRNA from 1 species